AACGCCUACGGGGCGCAGCAGUGGGGAAUAUUGCACAAUGGGGGAAGCCCUGAUGCAGCGACGCCGCGUGGGUGAGGAAGUAUUUCGGUAUGUAAAGCCCUAUCAGCAGGGAAGAAGAUUACAGUACCUGACUAAGAAGCCCCGGCUAACUACGUGCCAGCAGCCGCGGUAAUACGUAGGGGGCAAGCGUUAUCCGGAUUUACUGGGUGUAAAGGGAGCGCAGGUGGCAAGGCAAGCCAGAAGUGAAAACCCGGGGCUUAACCCCGCGGAUUGCUUUUCGAACUGUCUGGCUGGAGUGCAGGAGG
rnacentral:rRNA from 1 species